GUAUCAAUCGAUUUAAACAUCUAAAAAAAUUGAAACAACACAGAGAAGAUGCCCCUACGCGGGGAUGGCACACAAAUUGAGAAAUGACCCAAGUAUUC
rnacentral:snRNA from 1 species